GGUUAAGCGACUAAGCGUACACGGUGGAUGCCCUGGCAGUCAGAGGCGAUGAAGGACGUGCUAAUCUGCGAUAAGCGUCGGUGAGGUGAUAUGAACCGUUAUAACCGGCGAUUUCCGAAUGGGGAAACCCAGUGUGUUUCGACACACUAUCAUUAACUGAAUCCAUAGGUUAAUGAGGCGAACCGGGGGAACUGAAACAUCUAAGUACCCCGAGGAAAAGAAAUCAACCGAGAUUCCCCCAGUAGCGGCGAGCGAACGGGGAGCAGCCCAGAGCCUGAAUCAGUGUGUGUGUUAGUGGAAGCGUCUGGAAAGGCGUGCGAUACAGGGUGACAGCCCCGUACACAAAAAUGCACAUACUGUGAGCUCGAUGAGUAGGGCGGGACACGUGGUAUCCUGUCUGAAUAUGGGGGGACCAUCCUCCAAGGCUAAAUACUCCUGACUGACCGAUAGUGAACCAGUACCGUGAGGGAAAGGCGAAAAGAACCCCGGCGAGGGGAGUGAAAAAGAACCUGAAACCGUGUACGUACAAGCAGUGGGAGCCUCUUAAUGGGGUGACUGCGUACCUUUUGUAUAAUGGGUCAGCGACUUAUAUUCUGUAGCAAGGUUAACCGAAUAGGGGAGCCGAAGGGAAACCGAGUCUUAACUGGGCGUUAAGUUGCAGGGUAUAGACCCGAAACCCGGUGAUCUAGCCAUGGGCAGGUUGAAGGUUGGGUAACACUAACUGGAGGACCGAACCGACUAAUGUUGAAAAAUUAGCGGAUGACUUGUGGCUGGGGGUGAAAGGCCAAUCAAACCGGGAGAUAGCUGGUUCUCCCCGAAAGCUAUUUAGGUAGCGCCUCGUGAAUUCAUCUCCGGGGGUAGAGCACUGUUUCGGCAAGGGGGUCAUCCCGACUUACCAACCCGAUGCAAACUGCGAAUACCGGAGAAUGUUAUCACGGGAGACACACGGCGGGUGCUAACGUCCGUCGUGAAGAGGGAAACAACCCAGACCGCCAGCUAAGGUCCCAAAGUCAUGGUUAAGUGGGAAACGAUGUGGGAAGGCCCAGACAGCCAGGAUGUUGGCUUAGAAGCAGCCAUCAUUUAAAGAAAGCGUAAUAGCUCACUGGUCGAGUCGGCCUGCGCGGAAGAUGUAACGGGGCUAAACCAUGCACCGAAGCUGCGGCAGCGACACUAUGUGUUGUUGGGUAGGGGAGCGUUCUGUAAGCCUGCGAAGGUGUACUGUGAGGUAUGCUGGAGGUAUCAGAAGUGCGAAUGCUGACAUAAGUAACGAUAAAGCGGGUGAAAAGCCCGCUCGCCGGAAGACCAAGGGUUCCUGUCCAACGUUAAUCGGGGCAGGGUGAGUCGACCCCUAAGGCGAGGCCGAAAGGCGUAGUCGAUGGGAAACAGGUUAAUAUUCCUGUACUUGGUGUUACUGCGAAGGGGGGACGGAGAAGGCUAUGUUGGCCGGGCGACGGUUGUCCCGGUUUAAGCGUGUAGGCUGGUUUUCCAGGCAAAUCCGGAAAAUCAAGGCUGAGGCGUGAUGACGAGGCACUACGGUGCUGAAGCAACAAAUGCCCUGCUUCCAGGAAAAGCCUCUAAGCAUCAGGUAACAUCAAAUCGUACCCCAAACCGACACAGGUGGUCAGGUAGAGAAUACCAAGGCGCUUGAGAGAACUCGGGUGAAGGAACUAGGCAAAAUGGUGCCGUAACUUCGGGAGAAGGCACGCUGAUAUGUAGGUGAAGUCCCUCGCGGAUGGAGCUGAAAUCAGUCGAAGAUACCAGCUGGCUGCAACUGUUUAUUAAAAACACAGCACUGUGCAAACACGAAAGUGGACGUAUACGGUGUGACGCCUGCCCGGUGCCGGAAGGUUAAUUGAUGGGGUUAGCGGUAACGCGAAGCUCUUGAUCGAAGCCCCGGUAAACGGCGGCCGUAACUAUAACGGUCCUAAGGUAGCGAAAUUCCUUGUCGGGUAAGUUCCGACCUGCACGAAUGGCGUAAUGAUGGCCAGGCUGUCUCCACCCGAGACUCAGUGAAAUUGAACUCGCUGUGAAGAUGCAGUGUACCCGCGGCAAGACGGAAAGACCCCGUGAACCUUUACUAUAGCUUGACACUGAACAUUGAGCCUUGAUGUGUAGGAUAGGUGGGAGGCUUUGAAGUGUGGACGCCAGUCUGCAUGGAGCCGGCCUUGAAAUACCACCCUUUAAUGUUUGAUGUUCUAACGUUGGCCCCUGAUCGGGGUUGCGGACAGUGUCUGGUGGGUAGUUUGACUGGGGCGGUCUCCUCCUAAAGAGUAACGGAGGAGCACGAAGGUUGGCUAAUCCUGGUCGGACAUCAGGAGGUUAGUGCAAUGGCAUAAGCCAGCUUGACUGCGAGCGUGACGGCGCGAGCAGGUGCGAAAGCAGGUCAUAGUGAUCCGGUGGUUCUGAAUGGAAGGGCCAUCGCUCAACGGAUAAAAGGUACUCCGGGGAUAACAGGCUGAUACCGCCCAAGAGUUCAUAUCGACGGCGGUGUUUGGCACCUCGAUGUCGGCUCAUCACAUCCUGGGGCUGAAGUAGGUCCCAAGGGUAUGGCUGUUCGCCAUUUAAAGUGGUACGCGAGCUGGGUUUAGAACGUCGUGAGACAGUUCGGUCCCUAUCUGCCGUGGGCGCUGGAGAACUGAGGGGGGCUGCUCCUAGUACGAGAGGACCGGAGUGGACGCAUCACUGGUGUUCGGGUUGUCAUGCCAAUGGCACUGCCCGGUAGCUAAAUGCGGAAGAGAUAAGUGCUGAAAGCAUCUAAGCACGAAACUUGCCCCGAGAUGAGUUCUCCCUGACUCUUUAAGGGUCCUGAAGGAACGUUGAAGACGACGACGUUGAUAGGCCGGGUGUGUAAGCGCAGCGAUGCGUUGAGCUAACCGGUACUAAUGAACCGUGAGGCUUAACCUU
rnacentral:rRNA from 1 species